rnacentral:lncRNA from 1 species
GGUAUUUACAUCUAUAUGCAUAUCUAGCAUAUAUAUGAGACUCAGACAACAUGUAUUAUCGGGGCCUUACCCUCAGCACAUAAAAGUUCCCAGUCUAGGGGUCGAAUUGGAGCUGCAGCAGCCGGCCUACACCACAGCCACAGCAACGUAGGAUCCAAGCUGCAUCUGCGACCUGCACCACAGCUCAUGGCAAUGCCGGAUCCUUAACCCACUGAGUGAGACACACCUGAAUUCCAGUGUGACCAUGGCAAGUGUAUUUCAGAACAGAAAGGGGGGUCCUUUGGCCAGAGCACACCCGGCUUUCCAGGAAGUCCCUGGAGUAGCCACACCUAGACAGGCAAGCAACAAACUCAGUAAAGAAAAAAAAAAAAGGUGGCCACACACCACCCUGCUGCAGGGCCAGCCCCUCACGAGGCGACAGGAGCUGAGUUCGGCGCUGUCACCGGCACCCGUGCUGACUCGGACAGGGAGCCCCUGAGAUCACACCUGGGCCCCACAGGACGCCGAGCGCAUCGCCAGCUCGCACUCAGGUGACGGGGAAGCAUGCUGCCUUGGCAGGCAGGACCCUGUGAACAGAAGUUUGCUGACUCUUGAGAUGGUCCAGCCAAGUCACUGAGUAUCCUCGAACUCUCUAGUCCAUGCUGAGGCAAAGCACUCCACAGUUCUUCAACUCUGGCGCUCUGGAAGAGUAUUCUUUCUAUGGCUGGUGGCCAGUCCCUCCUCUAGGCAUGCUGUCUUCCUCUGCCUCCCAGAGAAGCUCAAGCGGUGCACCAGAGCUUCAGAUAUGGUCUGCUCAAGCACGCAGGAGUCAUUGUCUCCUGGGGAAGCUCACACAGUGCACCAGAGCUUCAGCCCCAGCCAAACCUGAUCGUGAAGCAGCUUCUGGCCCGCAGGUCGCUGUGCUCCCUCUUCUCGUCUCUUGGCUGGAAGCGCAGAUUUGGGUUCUGUUCCUGACUCAGUCCAAGUGCCAGGUUGGUCAACAAGAGGAAGGGUCCUUACUGGGGACUAAAGGCCAGUGUACACAGACACCUACCUCCGUUACUUCUCACCUCCACAGCCACCCUGCGCGGCAGACACCACAUCCUGCAUCUUACAGGUGAUGGAGUCAAGGCUCAGUUCACUAGCUUUCCUAGCGCCAGAGAGUAACACGCCCAGGGUUUAGCCCAAAUGAUUUUGAAGCUGUAGCAGAGGAGGUAGGGCCCCCUGGACCUCUGCAGCCUGGUGCUCACCCUUCCGUGUGCUGCCCGGAGCUGGUUAGUUGGCAUGAAAUGGCUUAGCCUCAGGACUGAGGCUUUCAUGUCACACAUGCCAGGGAGCCAGUGCAGCCUUUGUGGUGACAAAUGUGGGAGAUCCUUGGGCCCAACACCUCUUCACGAAGUGCCUUCUGGGCCUCUUAGGCCAAAAGCCAGAACCAGGAUGGAGUGACAGAAGCCUCCGAAUAGGUCCAGGGGAGCUGGAAUAAACCUUUCAAGAUGAAAAGUCCUGAGUGCAUCAUUUAUAAUUACACCUGUUUCCUUUGCUCAGUUCUAACAGUCAACCUAUUGACGAGGAAUUUUGCCGUCUUCCUCCUCCUCGUCAUCAUGCUAUCAGGAUCUGCUCCUCCCUGUCCACUCCCCCAAAGGGUUCUCAUGACAGUUGGUUUCACCCCACCACUCAGAGGAGGAGGUGUAUUUCAAUGAGCUCCCCGCUUCCCCUUCUCCCCACACCCUGCCACCACCUUCAUGAAUUUUGCUGAAAUCCUAUUUCUGGGGGACAGAGAUGAAUGCUGUGUAGUUAUCUGAUUAAACUGCCUCUUGUUUAAAUC